UUGAAAUGUGAAAGCGCAGAGAAUUGCAAAAAAUUCCACUGCUACAAAACUCAACUGCAACAUCAUCUCUCAAACACCCAAAAUACCCGUCCUCAGUUCAGAUUGCAGGCUGCAACUAGGUUGCAUAAAGCCGGAAUCGCUAGUAAUCACUGGUCAAUCGGUGAAUUCGUUCUCGGGCCUUACAAAAACUUAAAAGAAUGCAAAAUUGAUUUGUAUGUUAUUACUACAUGGGCACAUCUUGAAGUGAAGGAACAACAAAAUUUAAAGACAGACCCCACAGAUGGUACUAGUGAAUUAAUGAGGAGACACUAAACAUGGGAUUCUGUUAGGUGCGAUAAAUCAAUGCUUUCUAUUCACUUUUUUUCUUUUGAAGAUCAAUACCAAAAUUGAUCAAAGCAGAAGGCAAAACAGUAUAAAUUGUAUAAUCAUUCACCAGUCACUUUGGAAAAGAAAGUAUGCUGGUUGGAUUGAAAGAGAUUAGAAAUAAAUAUAAUAAAUUCUUUGCCUGCAUUUUGUCUUGUGAAUCUGUUAGUUGAAACUUAAUAAUCUUUGAAUUUGUUUGGUUUAUUUGAAUGGAAAAUGCCUAACACUUGUGCCCAGAAUUUUUCUUAAUUGCAAUCAUUGCAUAAUAUUCCAUUAGAAUUGCACUAAAUGUGUCCUUUUUGUCAAAGUUUGAAAAAUUUUAACUUAUCCCACUUGUUUUUCUUUUUUUUAAUACUCAGUAGG
rnacentral:lncRNA from 1 species